rnacentral:rRNA from 1 species
GUCUACGGCCAUACCACCCUGAACGCGCCCGAUCUCGUCUGAUCUCGGAAGCUAAGCAGGGUCGGGCCUGGUUAGUACUUGGAUGGGAGAUCUGGAGUAAUCUGCC